GGAGAGGUGGCCGAGUGGUUUAAGGCGCAUGCUUGGAAAGCAUGUUUAUGAGCAAUUGUAACAAGGGUUCGAAUCCCUUUCUCUCCG
rnacentral:tRNA from 1 species